GACGAACGCUGGCGGCGUGCCUAAUACAUGCAAGUUGAGCGCUAAAGGCUGGUUUUUGUACUAACUGGCUGAUCAUCGAACGGGUGAGUAAUGCGUGGUGCAUCUGCCUUUGAGCGCGGGACAACAUUUGGAAACGAAUGCUAAUACCUCAUAACAACUUUAAACACAAGUUUUAAGUUUUAAAGAUGCAAUUGCUUCACUCAAAUAUGAUUCCGCGUUGUAUUAGCUAGUUGGUGAGGUAAAGGCUCACCAAGGCGAUGAUACAUAGCCGACCUGCGAGGGUGGAGGGCCAAAUUGGGAAUGGGACAUGGCCCAAGGUCCAGAGGGAGGCAGGAGUAAGGAGUCGUGAGCAAUGGACGAAAGUCGGAACGAGGAAGGACGCGUGAGGGAAGAAGGUUUUCGGAUUGUAAAAUGCUGUUGGUAGAGAAGAACGAGGGAGAGAGUGGAAAGGUAAGGAAGUGACGGUAACUACAGAGAAAGCGACGGCUAACUACGUG
rnacentral:rRNA from 1 species